rnacentral:tRNA from 1 species
GGGAGCGGAUGGGGUACUGGUGUCCUCCCCGGUCUUCAAAACCGAGUGCGUCCGGUGGUGCCGGAUGGGUGAGUUCGAUUCUCACACGCUCCC